rnacentral:misc_RNA from 1 species
GAUAAAUAGGUGUUCUGUGUGAAGUUUCUUGGUAAUAUUUAUGGAUCUUGAAAUGACGCGACACCACGAGGUCAAACGGAAGAAAUGCGAUGGUUUUCCUUAUCUACGAGUUGGUUUUACAGGUAUAACUUAUCUCAGAUCAUUCUAUCUAGUUAUUGUGAAUGGUUUUACUUGUACAUUUUUAGUGAUCACCUUACAAGUGAUAACAGUAAAUGUAGCUGCCAAUGGAUAAAAGCAGCAUAGGAGGUUAGGUUUCUGGGAAAAAAAGAUAACAAUAUGGAGAAUAUCCUCGAUUGAUGUUUGAGUUAAUUUCGAUCAACGAGAAUCCAGGGAGGUUUCAUAUGUAUGACUAACGGACUCGGCACCUCCCUUUCGGCAAUAUCAGAGUCAUUCGAUGCUUAAAAUGUCGAUAAUCUGAGCAUUUUAUUUUGCUCAUUUUUUUCCAUUUUUGUAUCUUUUUGAGUAUCUGACGAUGUUGUUUACUUCAUCAGCUGAACAUUCUCUUUCGAAAAAAAUACAUUCU